rnacentral:rRNA from 1 species
UACGUAGGUGGCAAGCGUUGUCCGGAUUUACUGGGCGUAAAGCGCACGUAGGCGGCUUUUUAAGUCAGGGGUGAAAUCCCGGGGCUCAACCCCGGAACUGCCCUUGAAACUGGAGAGCUAGAAUCUUGGAGAGGCGAGUGGAAUUCCGAGUGUAGAGGUGAAAUUCGUAGAUAUUCGGAAGAACACCAGUGGCGAAGGCGACUCGCUGGACAAGUAUUGACGCUGAGGUGCGAAAGCGUGGGGAGCAAACAGG